CAGGUUACAGAGGGCAAAUGCUGUAAAUUCUCUUUAACGGAAUAACUGGGCAGAUGUACUUGGGAACAUUUAAAAAACUAAGUUGGCAUCGGAAAGGAAACAGCCAAUAUAUUUAGCUACCCAUGGCAUGCCAAGGCCUUAUUGAGACAGAAAUAAGCACUGUAGGAGGAAUCUCAAUUAAAUAUUUUUCUAAGCAGUCAGCUCUGGGGCUUUGGCUGAACAUGGAUAUAGAGCUGGGGCGAAGUACAGGACAGAGAGCCCAGAGGAUUUUGAGGGGGGGCUUUGGAAUCGUCUUGGGGCUGGGCUGCUUGCUAGUGACCCCAGGACCCCAGGGGUAGGGGGCCGACCUACUUCCAUGGUCCAGAGAGCAAGAUACCCUCCUUUCA
rnacentral:lncRNA from 1 species